ACAUGAUCUGAGUUCAGACCGGCCGCCUGUUUAUCAAAAACAUCGCCUCUUGUAAACCACAGAUAAGAGGUCCCGCCUGCCCUGUGACUAUGGGUUCAACGGCCGCGGUAUUUUGACCGUGCAAAGGUAGCGCAAUCACUUGUCCUUUAAAUGAGGACCUGUAUGAAAGGCAUCACGAGGGCUUAGCUGUCUCCUUUUUCAAGUCAAUGAAAUUGAUCUCCCCGUGCAGAAGCGGGGAUUAGAACAUAAGACGAGAAGACCCUAUGGAGCUUUAGACACAAGACAGAUCAUGUUAAGCACCUCAUAUAAAAGAGCAAACUAAGUGGAACCUGUCUUAAUGUCUUUGGUUGGGGCGACCGCGGGGCAACAAAAAGCCCCCAUGAGGAAUAAAAGUAUUCUUUCAAAAACAAGAGCCACAGCUCUAAUGAGCAGAACAUCUGACCUACCAGAUCCGGCAUAGCCGAUCAACGAACCGAGUUACCCUAGGGAUAACAGCGCAAUCCCCUUUUAGAGCCCCUAUCGACAAGGGGGUUUACGACCUCGAUGUUGGAUCAGGACAUCCUAAUGGUGCAACCGCUAUUAAGGGUUCGUUUGUUCAACGAUUAAAGUCCUACAUGAUCUGAGUUCAGACCGG
rnacentral:rRNA from 1 species